CCGCCGCGGUAAGACGUAGGACACAAGCGUUUCCGGAUUUACUGGGCGUAAAGCGUCUGCAGGCGGACAGGUAAGUUGGGCGUGAAAGCUCCGGGCCCAACCCGGAGAGGUCGUUCAAUACUGCGUGUCUAGAGGGUGUCAGAGGGGAGUGGAAUUUCCGGAGUAGCGGUAAAAUGCGCAGAGAUCGGAAAGAACACCAAUGGCGAAGGCAGCUCCCUGGGGCAACCCUGACGCUAAGAGACGAAAGCUAGGGGAGCGAACAGGAUUAGAGACCCUGGUAGUCCUAGCCCUAAACGAUGGAUGCUGGAUGUGGGGCCAUAGCGCUCCGUGUCGAAGCGAACGCGUUAAGCAUCCCGCCUGGGGACUACGGCCGCAAGGUUAAAACUCAAACGAAUUGACGGGACCCCGCACAAGCAGCGGAGCGUGUGGUUUAAUUCGAUGCUACACGAAGAACCUUACCUGGGUUUGACAUCUAGGUGGUAGUGAAGCGAAAGCGGAGCGACCCUUCGGGGAGCCUAGACAGGUGCUGCAUGGCUGUCGUCAGCUCGUGCCGUGAGGUGUCGGGUUAAGUCCCGUAACGAGCGCAACCCUUGCCCUCCGUUAUACGUGUCAGAGGGGACUGCCGGCGGUAAGCCGGAGGAAGGUGGGGAUGACGUCCAGUCAGCAUGGCCUUUUUAUCCAGGGCUAACCACACGCCUACAAUGGCCAGUACAA
rnacentral:rRNA from 1 species